rnacentral:rRNA from 1 species
AGUUUAUUCUGGCUCAGAUUAACGCUGGCGGGAUGCUUUACAUGCAAGUCGAAUGUAAAAGCACGGACUUCGGUCUGGUGGCGAGUGGCGAACGGGUAGUAAUAUCGGAACGCGCCUAGUAGCGGGGGAUAACUACGCGAAAGCGUAUUAAUAAUGCAUACGGCCUCGGGGGAAAGCGGGGACCUUUCGGGUCUCGCACUAUUAGAGCGGCCGAUAUCGGAUUAGCUAGUUGUGGGUAAACGGCUCACCAAGGCGACGAUCCGUAUUGUUUGAGAGGAUUAACUGCCGACUGGGACUGAGAUUGACGCCCAGACUCCAGCGGGAGGCAGUGGGGAAUUUUGACAAUGGGGGAAACUCCUGAUCCAGCCAUCCCGCGUGUGCGAUGGCGCCCUUCGCCAGAAGCACUUCGCAGAAAGAAACGCACGAUACCCCGUGCAACUGACGGUACCUGCAGAAUAAGCACGGCUAACAUGCCAGCAGCCGCGGCGGUACGUGUGGUGCAAGCGCACCGGAAUUACUGGCGUAAAGCGUGCGCAGGCGUUCUGGAAAGAAAGAUGUGAAAUCCAGAGCUUAACUUUGGAAACUGCAUUUUUAACUACCGAGCUAGAGUGCCGGUGGUGGAAUUCUGCGAGUGAAAUGUAGAUAUGCGAGAACACUGAUGGCGGAAGGCAGCCUCCUGGGAUAACAAUUAUCCAUGCACGGAAAGGAGCAAACAGACGAUACUCCUGGUAGUCCACGCCCUAAACGAUGUCAACUAGCUGUUGGGGCUCUGGCCUGGUAGCGCAGCUAAUGCGUGAAGAUGGACCGCCUGGGGAGUACGUCGCAAGAUUAAAUCCUUGUGCGAAUUGACGGGGACCUGCACAAGCGGUGGAUGAUGUGGAUUAAUUCGAUGCAACGCGAAAACCUUACUCACCUGACAUGUUUUAUGAACUGAAGAGAUUUGGGAGUGUCGUGGCGAACGGAACGAAAAGGCCGUCAAAGUCAGUCAGUCGAGAUGUUGGGUUAAGUCCCGCAACGAGCGCAACCCUUGUCAUUAGCGUUGAGGCGGCACUCUAGAUGAGACUGUUGCAGACAAACCGGAGGAAAGGUAGAUGACGGUCAAGUCCUCAUGGCCCUUAAGGGUAGGGCUUCACACGUCAUACAAUGGUCGGGACAGAGGGCUUCUCCAACCCGCGAGGUGGGGAGCUGUCCUCGUAGAAACCCGAUCGUAGUCCGGAUCGCAGUCUGCAACUCGACUGUGAAGUCGGAAUCGCUAGUAAUCGCGGACAAAAUACUGCGGUGAAUACGUUCUCGGGUCUUUGUACACACCGCCCGUCACACCAUGGAGUGGUCACCAGAAGUAGUUAGCCUAACCGUAAGAGGCAUGGAUUACUACGGUAGGGUCUAUGACUGGGUGAAGUCAAUAAGGUAGCCCAAAGAUACCGAGUUCCA